rnacentral:rRNA from 1 species
GUCUACGGCCAUGCCAACCUGAACAAGCCUGAUCCUGUCUGAUCUCGGAAGCUAAGCAGGUUUGGGCCAGGUUAGUACUUGCAUGGGAGACCACCUAGGAAGACCAGGUGCUAUAAGCG